GUGGAGAUAUGAGAAUGUUUAGGUUAAGUCUGGUUGAUAUUGCUAACAUUUUCUGUCCAUUAAUUCGGCCAGGCUUCUUUUUUUUAACAGAAAAUGUUUAUUGUAAUUCUUUAAAAGACAUCAUCAUAAGAUUAGAAGAUAUGAUAUAUCUUCCUUGCUUUAUUUCACUUUCCAACCCGAAAUUACUAAUACGGGACCAUUCCAGAAUCUGCCACAAGUUAUCCGCUACACAUAAAGAGGUCGAUCGAAAGAUUAAGAAUAGGAAGUGAUGAAUUGGGCAUGAACUCUACCUGAAACAAACUGUUCCGGAAAUAACCAAAAAUUGCCUAUUUUCCGAAACUGUUUUUUAUUUUCGGAAGAUUAAAGUUAAAAAAAUUAAAAGUAUGUCAUAAUUUAUAUUUUGAAUAUCAUAAAAAUUUAUUAAAUAGUUCUGUAAUUUUAUUGUGAAUACUGUACUAGUAUACUUAUGCAG
rnacentral:lncRNA from 1 species